UACAGAGGGGGCAAGCGUUAUUCGGAAUUAUUGGGCGUAAAGGGCGCGUAGGCGGCCUGGCAAGUGGAAGGUGAAAUCCCUCGGCUUAACCGAGGAACUGCCCUCCAAACUGCUUGGCUUGAGUCCGGGAGAGGUGAGUGGAAUUCCCAGUGUAGCGGUGAAAUGCGUAGAUAUUGGGAGGAACACCAGUGGCGAAGGCGGCUCACUGGGCCGAUAUUGACGCUGAGGAGCGAAAGCGUGGGGAGCAAACAGG
rnacentral:rRNA from 1 species